AGAAACUUAGGAUUACCAAAACCGAAGGCCUUCAAAGCCUUAAACAAGAGUUAAACCCUCUUAGUUUCUG
rnacentral:tRNA from 5 species